rnacentral:rRNA from 1 species
CCUACGGGAGGCAGCAGUGGGGAAUAUUGCACAAUGGGGGCAACCCUGAUGCAGCGACGCCGCGUGAGCGAUGAAGUAUCUCGGUAUGUAAAGCUCUAUUAGUAGGGAAGUAAAUGACGGUACCUGACUAAGAAGCCCCGGCUAACUACGUGCCAGCAGCCGCGGUAAUACGGAGGGGGCAAGCGUAAUCCGGAUUUACUGGGUGUAAAGGGAGCGUAGACGGUUCUGCAAGCCAGAUGUGAAAGCCCGGGGCUCAACCCCGGAACUGCAUUUGGAACUGUAAGACUAGAGUGUCGGAGAGGCAGGCGGAAUUCCUGGUGUAGCGGUGAAAUGCGUAGAUAUUAGGAAGAACACCAGUGGCGAAGGCAGCCUACUAAACGAUGACUGACGUUGAGGCUCGAAAGCGUGGGUAGCAAACAGGAUUAGAUACCCCUGUAGUC